AUGGAGAGCGCAGUCCUCUACUGCGUAUGGAGGAUAAGCAGAAAAUACUCGGAUCAUCUUUUACGUCUUGGCACAUUUAUUUAUUUUUUAAUACAAGUUUAUUGAGACAUACAGAACAAUACAAAAGAAUAGUGCAAUGAAAAUCUCCAGGGGGUUACAAACAUAUAAAAGAAAUAGAAUAUUACAGAGGUAUUACAAAAAUAUAUCAAAGAGAGCACACAUAGAAAUAGUUUUAAUAGCUUUCUUAUUAGUGGAGUAAUUAAUGGUUUUUAUAUAUUGUUUGACCUCAUUGUUAAAAAUAGAAAAGAGUGGUUUUUGGGCAGUGUAUCUGCAUUUAUGGAUAUGCCAUUUUGCCAAAUAUAUGAUCAGAUUAAUUACAUAAAAGUGUCCUUUUUUUGUUGGUGGAUAGUCAAUGAAGCCAAACAAUAUGUUCAAAGCAAAAGGAAAAGUGUGGUAAAAUGCAAGUAGAAAUUAAAUCACAAAUAUCCAUCCAUAAUUUGGUGGAAAAGGGGCAAGACCAGAAUAAAUGAAAAAUAUCCUCAGGGUGUCCUUCACAAAAUGAGCAAUUAACAUCAAUAUCUCUUUUGAAUCGUUGUAGAAAAAUGUUUGUUGGGUAAAAUCUAUGAAUCAAUUUAAAGGAUACUUCUUUUGCUUUAUUGUUUAUCAAAUAUUUAGCUGACAAAUUCCACAUUUUUUUCCCAAUUAAGGUUAUUAAUAAAGCACAUUUAUUUAACAAUAAAGUGCGGACUGAUGCGGACGGUUAUGUUGUCCUCUCAUCAUCAUGGCUCACACAGAACUGGCGCUCACUGGGAGCGUGAUGACGUCACGUACUGUACGUACCGUAAACCUUAUACGAUACAGCAGUGCAGUAUAUCAGUCUACCAUAAUACAGGGAGUAAGGGCGCCAUCAAAUUACAACACUUAACAGUUGUGAUGGAGAAGUGAACCGUGUUGAACAGCCGCAUUAUUUCUGCUGUGUUCAGUGUAAUAAUAGUGGAAGAAACACACGGUGACGGUUUAGCUAGCUGGCUAACAUUAGCAAACAAGCUUCCGGUCAGUUCAGUCCCGACAGUAAAGUAACGUGAUCUAAAUCAAAUCAGCAGCGUCCUGUGGAGACGAGCAGUUAGCAGAUGCUAACACACAGUAAAGUGAAGAUGAAACUCUCCCUGUAGUUUGGAGGAUCAGGAUCAGAGUCCAGCUCCUCUCUCCGUCUCACGGUGAAACUGCCAGUGAAACAGAUAAUCAAUACAACUUGAUUGGAAAUGUGAUGUAUGAGGCUCUCACCUGUUCAUUUGAAGGAUGAAGAUAGAAGAAAAUCAAAUCUGCAUUGUCCAAUCAAAGUGUCUCACGCUGUGUUUUCCCAAAAUGCAUUGCAAAAAAUACUGUGAAUUACUGUUUUAAUACUGUUUCAUGAGAGGAAUUUACAGUAAUAUACUGCAUUUAAAGAUAACAGGAUUGUACUGUUGAAAUUUCCCCGUAAAUUUUACAGGAAUUUGUUACAGUGCAGAUAAUUAUCUGGUUGAUUCAGAAAAACAGAGCAGGAGUUUUUAAAUUCAUGUUCUGUGAUUUACUGUUAAUACUGACACAUAGUGUUCAUGUGAACCAGGUUCACCGUCUUUACAGUUCUUCAGUAUAAAAGUAGUAUUUCAUGCAGGGCUCUGUUGUACAGGCUUUCAUCAAAACACAAAUAAACAGCUGUGAAAUGUUU